CACCCCUGCCUCCUCGACUUCACGCAGAACGUUCGGCUUUGUGACGUCACAGAACCUGCGAACACAACGUUCUACUGGGUCCAUGGUUACAUUAGCGCGAGACUCAGGUAAAGCUUUUACACUGCAGUGCUGUCCCUAAUACAGCCCAUACAUAAUGGGUCAGCUGGAGGAACAGAGGGCUUAUCAGCUGUGUCCUCACACAUACAUGUCGGGGUACAUGCCUGGGUACAUACCUGGGUACAUACCUGGGUACAUGUCUGGGUACAUGCCUGGGUACAUGCCUGGGUGCAUGCCUCUGUACAUGCCUGGGUGCAUGGCUCUGUGCAUGCCUGGGUGCAUGGCUCUGUGCAUGCCUGGGUGCAUGGCUCUGUGCAUGCCUGGGUGCAUGGCUCUGUGCAUGCCUGGGUGCAUGGCUCUGUACAUGCCUGGGUGCAUGCCUCUGUGCAUGCCUGGGUGCAUGGCUCUGUGCAUGGCUCUGUGCAUGCCUGGGUGCAUGGCUCUGUGCAUGCCUGGGUGCAUGGCUCUGUGCAUGCCUGGGUGCAUGGCUCUGUGCAUGUCUGGGUAUUCCUGGUCAGAGUAAGGACAGGUCAUAUUCACAGACAUGCAAGUUGUGCUGUUAGCAGCUCGCAGAUUACACGGGGUCCUGUGUUGCUGUGUUAUCCUGGGGGUUUUGGACUCAGCUGGGAGCCAAGAAUUAGAAGCAGCAAUUUGAUCUGCUUUACCUUGUGCUCUCCAACAUGUUUUUAAAGCAACCCCCUGCUUGAUUUAUAUCCUGGUGGUGGGUGGAUUAAUCUGCAAAGGUGCAAGGCAGAGCUUCACUCAUAUAAACAAGGGUAUCUGAUAACAUGUAUCUUCUCUAUACACUUGGUGAGGCAGGUUACAUGGAUUAUUAAUGUGGCUAGCACAUAUACAUUUACAUAUACACAUGGGCAUUUCUACAUAUACAAGUAUAAACUUACAAGUUCUAUAUAAGGAGCAGUAUCAUUUAGAAACAGAUGCGAUUGUGUAUUUAACAUCAGUUACUUUUAUUUCUCACUUUUCAUAUAGCUGGUAUAAUUAAACUGAGAGCCCUGGAGAUGUUAACCUCUGAUUUUGGGUACACCGUACAGACAGUCCUUUAAUGCCCUGAGUAAUUUGUAUGAUUAAUAAUAAUAUAAUUAAGUGAGUUACUCCAUGCAUCAUAGCCACUGCUGCCUGCUGGAGUACCCUGGCUCCAUUCUCUGGUAUUGGGGUAUAUUGUUCUACAAGAGUUUAUCCUCUAGUUCCGCACGGCGCGGAGGGUCCUAUCCUGCUGGUUGAACGACAUGUGGGUUCUGUAGAACUGCUAGAUGCCAAUCUCAGUGGCCAUUUAUUGGUUGAGAGUGUCAGCUGAUCAUUUUCAGCCAAUGAAUGCCCCUCUGUGCAUAGAAAUAUUCGCAGCACAGACUUGGCAUCAACCAGCCCAGAACUCUUUUUUUCGGCGCUUGUUAACGCACCAGUGACUCAGCAGGAGGUGCAAUGUAUGAGCAGUGUUUCAUCACGACUUAUGCACAUACAGACUUCAAGCACCAUGCCCACUUUAAAUCACUGUAUUAGUACUCCAUACUAAUUCUUCUCGACCUCUCUGUUGCCUUUGACACCGUUGAUCAUGCUCUCCUUCUUCAAACGCUUCAGUAACUCGGUCUCUGUGACUUUGUCCUCUCGUGUUUUUCCUCUUAUCUCUCCCAACACUCAUUCAGUGUCUUCUUUUCUAAUGAUACCUCCUUCCUUCAUCCUGUUUCGGUUGGAGUCCCCCAGGGCUAUGUCAUUGGCCCCCUUCUAUAUUCUCUUUAUACUGCCUCUCUUGGCAAACUAAUUACCCCAUUUGGAUUCCACUACCACCUGUACGCUGAUGACAGCCAUAUAUAUCUCUCCUCUCCGGACCUCUACCCUGUCGUCCUGCAACGUGUCACUGCUUGCCUUUCUUCCAUCUCUGACUGGAUGUCCUCCCACUUUCUGAAACUAAAUCUCUCUAAAACUGAACUCCUUGUCUUUUACCCUCCUAACACUGAUCCUCCUCUUUCGCUCUCCCUUCAAGUUAGUGGUUUUCACAUAAUUCUAUCCUUGCAAGCGUGCUGUCUUGGCAUCAUACUUGAUUCUGGCCUCACCUUUAACCCCUUAAGGACACAUGACAUGUGUGACAUGUCAUGAUUCCCUUUUAUUCCAGAAGUUUGGUCCUUAAGGGGUUAAGCCUCACAUACAGUAUAUUUUGAAAUCAUGUAGAGUCCAUCAAAACAUAGCCCGCAUCUGCCCCUUUCUUACACAAGAUGCUAUCAAGGAGCUUGUCCAUGCUCUAGUAAUUUCCUGCAUGGAUUAUUGUAACCCUCUCCUAAUUGGUCUUCCCAAAAACUCCGCUACAGUCUGUAAUGAAUGCUGCCGCCAGACUGAUUUUCCUCUCUAGUCGGUUCUCUCACACCUCUCCCCUCUGCCAGUCCUUACAUUGGCUUCCUGUAUCCUUUGGGAGUCAAUUCAAGGUACUAAUUAACACCUAUAAAGCACUGAACAAUUCUAGCUCCUCUUAUAUCUCUUCACAGAUCCAUAGGUAUGCCCCUUCUUGGUCUCUCCGCUCUGCCUGUGACCUUCUCCUGUCCGUUGUUCGCACCCGUACGGCCAACUCACGUUUGCAGGACUUCUUGCGGGCAGCUGCCUUCCUUUGGAAUAGCCUGCCUACUGCUAUCAGAUUCUCCCCUAGUCUUGCAUCUUUUAAGAAGAGCCUUAAAACCCAUCUCUUUAGGAAAGCUUAUGGCCUCCCAGAGUAACCUCUACCUUACAUAACUGUCUCUUGCUCUCUCUUUUUUAAAGGGCACCACUCCACUCUCUCCUCCAGCUCAGCUUCACUCCCACCUUAUUUAAUUUAUAUUUCCUGUCCUAUUGUGUUUUAUACCCCACCUCCUAUAGACUGUAAGCUCGUUUGAGCAGGGUCCUCUUCAACCUAUUGUUCCUGUAAGUUUUCUUGUAAUUGUCCUAUUUAUAGUUAAACCCCCCUCUCAUAAUAUUGUAAAGCGCUACGGAAUCUGUUGGAGCUAUAUAAAUGAUGAUAAUAAUAAUAAUAGUGCUUGGAGUAACUCUUUACGGGAUCACACUAAGGUUAAGAAUAUAUUGUUUCUAGCCUUAUGCUAGGCUGCAAAUUGAGGACCUACUUCCCCUUCCAGUCCUUGCAGCAGCCAAACACCUCAUUCUGAGAUCAUAAUGAUGGAUGCUUUAUCCACGCAUUGGGGACCUAUAGCAUAUGUGCAGCAAUGGCUGCAUUCCACCAGUCCUAUGCAUCUCACAGAGGAGCAGGGAAUCCAUUGUUGCUGUAUUAUAAUUAUUAUUAUUACUGGUAUUUAUAUAGCACCAGCAUAUUCUGAAGCGCUUUACAAUAUAAUGAGAAACAUUGACAGGGUUCAGUAUUGUAAUGCUGUGCAUGAUGAGGCCAAAUAUGAAGUUCUUUAUGAGUAAGUGUCCCAAGUGGCUUUCAGUCAGUGUGCUGUUUGGCAAACAUAAACAGUGCUGUUUCUCUUAAAUGACAAUGUUGUGUUUUUUACUUUUUUUUUUUUUUAAUGCAAAAGAAGAGGGAAAGCAUUUAUGCCCCAUAACCACUGCAUUAAGAUGUAGUGGUUUUCAUUAUUAAAAUGUCCCUUUAACCCAUUAAAAACCAAUAAUGGUUUAUGUGGUCACAGCAACAGCUGCAAUCAGAACAUCAGAGAUUAAUACUCCUGGUGCAUUAACAGAGAUUAAUUCAACUAUAUCAUCUAACCUUCUGAUAUAUAUAUUUCUAUAUAUAUCUUUUUAUAUUAAACACUGAAAACACAUAAAGCACUUCAGCUUGCUUUGUGACUGGAGUCUGUCAUUUUUAAAAAUAAUUUUAUAAAAGUUACGAUUUCAGUAGAAAUUGGUACUUUUAUUACUGGGUUCAAAAGGUCUUUCCUGUCCCCACUUCUCAUUGAGCUGUACUGGGAAGCCAUGUAAAGCCACAUUUGCGUGCAUGUUGAUGGCUACAACACAGAAGCUUCUCAACAAGAAGGGGGAGGAGGGCUUGCAAUAGCUGCAGAUAGCAAUCUGCAGUUUUCAAGAAUUGCGCUUUCCUAUACCCCUCAAAAAACAUGCAGAACAAAAUACAUACAUGUCUUCUUUGGGGUAAAAGUUUAUAUUUGCUGUGGAGGUGUUCGUUUAACAUUGUAGACAGCACUCUUUUUUAUUUUUAUUUUUUUUAUUGUUUUAUUUUUAUAGUUUAAUUCAUAUAAUGUAUUUAAACAUUAAGGGCUACUCCAACCACCAUGAUCACUUAUGCAUUUGGUCAUGGCGGUCAUAGCUGAAAAGAGACAACAAGUUCAGCUUUUCUCACUUUUGUUUUUGCUGUUGAUUUAACCCCUUAAGGACACAUGACGGAAAUAUUCCAUCAUGAUUCCCUUUGAUUCCAGAAGUUGUGUCCUUAAGGGGUUAAAAGAAGGUUAAAAAACCCAGCCUCAAGUGCUUCCAAAUUUGCCACUAACUAGGAAAAAAUUCCUUCUUGACCCCAGAAUGGCAGUCAGAUCUCUCCUUGGAUCAAUCCGCUAUUACUCAACAAUUUAAAAAUGAUAUCCCUGUGUAUUACGUUUUUGCAAGUAUUUUUCCAAUUGCUGUUUAAACAUCUGCAUAGAACUACCUCUUCAGGCAGAGAAGUCUGCACCCUUAUUGUUCUUACUGUAAACCCCGAUGCCACCUUCCCCCCCAAAAAAACAGACAAUGGUUUGUAUUGACCCCGAAUGUAUUUUUUCAUAUAAAAUUGUUCAUUCUUUUGUAGCCACCCUCUGCACUUUUUCUAGUGCCAUAAUAUUCUUCUUUAGAACAUGUGCUCACAAUUGCAUAGCAUAUUCAAGGUGUGGUCUUGAAUAUAUGAUUUAGUGAUUUAUAAAGAGACAAUUAUAUUUUCAUCCUUAUAAUUAAUGCCCCUUUUUAUACAUGACAAAACCCUACUGGCCUUAGCAACUGCCGAUUGAUAUUGCACAUUGUUGCCUAGUGUGUUGUCAAAAACAAUUCCCAAAUCCUUCUCGUGUAUUGUUAUCCAUAUGGUGUAAGUUGCUUGUGCAUUCUUGAAGUGCAUAACUUUGCAUUUAAUCAACAUUAAAGUUCAUCUGCCAUUUAAGUGCCCAGUUUCCCAAUCUAUCUAAAUCACUCUGCAGCAAAGCAAUAACCUGCUCACACUUUUUUAUUUUACAGAAUUUUGUGUCAUCUGCAAACACUGAAACAUGGCUUUCAAUGCCUAUUUCAAGAUAAUUUCUAAAUAAAUUAAAUAGAAGCGGUCCCAGAACAGAACCCUGAGGGACAACACUUACACUUUUGUCCAGCUUGAACGUUUACCACUAAUAACAACUCUCUGUACUCUAACUUUAGCCAAUGUUCUACCCAUGAACAAGAAUUGUCAUCUAGACCAAGUUCUUUUAGUUGGAGCACUAACCUAUUCGGAGGAACGUUAUCAAAGGCCUUGGCAAAAUCCCAGUAUAUCAAAUUCUCGGAUACUCCCUGAACUAUACAUCUACUCACUUCUUUGUAUAAUGCAAUUAGGUUAGUUUGACAUGACCUAUGUUUCAUAAAACCAUGCCGACUAUUGCUAAUAACAAUAUUCCUCUCAAUUAAUUCCUAAAUAUUAUCCCUUAAUAACCCUUCAAAUACUUUCUCAGCCACAUAAGUUAAGUUCACAGGUCUGUAAUUUCCAGGCAAAUAUUUUAACCCUCUUUGAAUAUAGGAACCACAUCUAUCUUCCCCCAAUCCUCUUGUGUGAUUAAUGAAAGAAAAUAAUCUUAAAAGAUUAAAACCAGAGAUUCACUUAUAUCCACACUUGGCUCCUUAAGUACUCAUGGGUGAAUACUGUCAGGCCCCUGGAGCUUUGUUUACAUUAACUUUCUUUUGCGGCUAUAUCACAUUGUCUUGAGUCAGCCAAUCACAAAUUUUCUGCAAGUUUUUUUUGUAGCAAUAUUUACAUAUCUCUUGCCAUAGGAUCCUCCUUAAUAUUUAUUGAGAACAAAUAGUUUAUUAAAAUUUUCUGUCUCUUCACUUUCACUUUAUUUUUGUUUUUUAGAAUGUACUUAAAAAAAAAUAUUUGGGGGAGGGCCUUGGCUGGUUGUGUAACGGCAUAUACCUGUUCUUGCAGAGCUCUGUCCUAACUUAAUCAGAAGCACCCAGUGACAUUGUAGCAGGUAUGUCGCAUUGCGCUCUGUCAUCAAAUCCUGCCCCAGAGAGUUUGGAAAUAUCCACUUCGAGGGCUGCACGAUGGCAAUCUAUGGGGACCUCCUUGUUGUAUUGCUAGAGAGAAGGCAGCAGGCUACUACGAGGGGCCACGAUCAAGUACCGCCAGGGGGUCGUUUGCUCUUUUUCCAGUCUCUGUGUGAGGGUGCUGUGUGUGUAAGGGAGCUGUGUGUGUGUAUGUGUGAGGGUGCUGUGUGUAAGGGUGCUGUGUGUGUGAGGUUCCUGUGUGGGGGGUGCUGUGAGGGUGCUGUGUGUGUGUGUAAGGGUGCUGUGUAUAUGUGUGAGGGUGCUGUGUGUGGGGGGUGCUGUAUGUGGGUGCUGUAUGUUUGUGUGAUUGUGUGUAUUGUGUGGGGGCCGUUUAGUAAAUAUCCCCCCCUCCCUUCCUACCUUAUGCCAGGGAGGGGGGAUCCUUUCUGCUGCUUCCAUCCCUGGUGGUCCAGUGGAGAGUUAACGCUAGCCUGGGGGGCUAGAGUUCACUCUCGUGAGAUCUGAGCGUUGCCAUGGCAAUGCUCAGAAUCCCGCGAGAGGAACCCGACGGAGCUACUGGCAAGAGCUCCCCGGGUCCUCUCCUGACUCCCUCCCUGCCUGUGGGUCGGUGGGGAAGGAGGUUGUGGUAUUGUAACACCUUUUGUAUACUUUCAUACACUAAUCUAGUUGUAUUUUGGAUACAUAAAAGCCAAUAAAAUACAAACUGGAACAAAAAAAUGUUUUGGGGUUGGUUUUACUCACUUUGGCUACCAAUUAUAAUUUUCCAAUUCAACCACUCUAUCUGUCAUGGUGGUAGGAUUCUGGAUGUGGAUUGUCUCAGUUUGAAACACUGCACCUUAAGAGAGAUUUUCAAUUUUAUGCUGGGGUUUAUUUGCACCCCAGCACACGUGACUUUGGAAGCCCAAAAUGUUGCCGACAGCACUGUGGGUGCUCCCUUCCACCUCCUUUUGUUAAAUAAAUGGGAGCAAUCUUCCCUCCCGCCUCUUUCCCUUUCCCCACCUUCUCUAUGAGAAACCUGUGAUUGAACCAUGGUGAUGUUAUGACAGAGCCGCAAAAUUAAUUUCCAGUAGGGCAGGGUUCAGCAACCUAUAUGUGCCAUGAAUGACAUUCUUUGCACUGAAGUCAAGACUGCCAGAGCCAAACAAGUCUUUACUACACACUGAGUGGUGAGGAGCAAUCCUCAAUUUACGCAUUGCAGCACUUAGAGAAAGUAAUCUCAGAUCACUUCAUCCCAACACUUGUGAACAGGAAUUCACACUGGAGUAGAGCAAAUUGUACCUGGCCAGCCCGGUUCCCACUGGACCCUAGAGAGCCUUCACUCAUACAAUUACAUCGUAAUAGAAACAACCUAGACACUAACACAGUCCCCACAACCACAACACCACUGACAAUGCACAUACAUGCACACAACCCCCCAAGCAGCUCCACACAUACACACAAUGUGACAUAUCAUCCACACAUAAUUCCAUAGACAGUCCACAUUCAUAUGUAUCAUACACAGUACCACAAACUACUCAUGAAUGUAUGCCGUACAAUAUAACAGCCCACAUAUGCACAACUACAACGCUACAAAGCAAUUUCAGCACCCAUAAACAAGAAUACACACUUCAAUUGAAAAAGAGGAAUGACACGCCAAGAGACUUCAAAAUCUUACUUUGUCACAGUUCUAUUAAAAGGUUGCUGUUCAUUGCCAUAGAGCUUUUAUAAUAUAAAUUGAGCGGGGUUUAAUCGGGGAUGAAGUAACCCUUUAUAGAAAAAGGGAGAGGGAGGGAGGGGGGUAAGCACUCAAAACAGUAGUAUAAGCAGGUGUGUAUAUAUACAGUAACAAGUGAAUUUAAGUUAUGAAAGAAAAAAAUCACUGAGUAAUGGAUGCAAAUCGAUCCUUUUACAGUGUUACCCUCUGAGAGUGGAAAACACAGGUAUAUAUCUACCUAGCCACAAAGAACAAUAGCUGAACACAGAAAAUAAAUAUAAUGAUUGAAGUAGAAAAUGGCUUGAUUUUUAUUUUAUUUUUUUUACUCCGUCAUCAUCCUGUUUCUGAGGUCAGAGUAGCUUUUUUUUGUUGUUGCAAAUAAUAGACAAUCAAUACAUUUCCAAAUAAUGGCCUCGAUUUUAUUAUUUUUGUGUAAGCUCUUCGUGUGAUCACAAUCUGUUAGAAAAACAUUUUAACUGAUUUAUUUACAGAAAUCACUAUUAAAGUCUAGGAGAAUGGACAGGUAUGGGAGGCCACAAAAAUGAGCCUAUAAACAGCUAGGCCGCCUCAGCUAUUGUCUUACCCUCUGUACAUAGUUAUAACAAAUCUGUUGAGUUAAAGAUUACUAAAUCCUGUUUUGUAGUACUGUGUUUUUUUUACCUUUGCCAAAUUCCUACAUAAAUGCUUCUUACUUUGUGUUUCUGUUGGACUCCUCUUUAUGUUAACCCUCUCGGCAACAGAAAAGCUUGUCAGGAACUUUACAGCCAUCUGCCCCAAAUGCCGUAUGUUCUAAGCAUUGUGGGAAACCUUGCAUAUAAAAUGGGGUGGCCAGUCCUAAUCAUAGCUAGUGGCCUCAAUGGAGGAGUCAUAUGAGAUAUUCAGGUUAAUAAUGCUUUUACUCAGGGGAGUUAACAGCUGCCAAAAAUACCAGGAACUUCAGCACAAGUUGUGUGCCCCCAACCCCAUAUGAUAUAUUUCUUUCCUAUUCAAAACCAUGAUUGUUGUUAUAUCAUGAUAUAAUUUGAAAUUGGAUAAACUCGAGGUUCCAUAGAAAUAGUUAUUGGAAGAGCUUCAGUUUGUUUUACUUCUCUCUUAAUAUCACAAACGGUCAUAUAGAUACAAAUAACACCUCCAUUUGCAAGUUUCCAGGAGGCUUGGGGACUAACAAUAAAUGGAGCUAAAUACAACUCCACUCGUGCCCCGGCUGGGGUUGGCCCCUUUCCAGCCGCUAUCAUGUUCUUAAUUUAUAAAAUUAAUGGUGGUCUCUCAAUGCAAUGGACAUAUAAUACCUAUAGAUGUGCAGAGCUAAAUUAUAUUCUGUGGAGUUCACUCAUCUCACACUGCCCUUUUUUUAAGGACAAUCUGUGCUAGGACAGCUAGCUCACAUGUUACUUCCUCAUUAUCGCUGUGUAUAGUUGGUCAGAGGUGAAUUCCAGAAUUCCCUGGGCUUCCGGGUCCCCUUGGCUUAUAAUUAACUAACAGACCAUGUGGUCACCAUGUCCCGAGCCCAAAAUAAUAAUAAUAACACACCUGCCCCCAAAAUACAGAGCCUGCUCUCCUUGGCAACAAAAGCAACCGAGUCUUUCCUAGCCCUAACAUGUGACUGAAUUGCAUGUAAUCCCACUCUAUUAACCCAUCACCUCCUGCAAAUUAGAAAAGUAAGGCAGGGACGGGUUUGCUUAAUCAGAUUUAUUUUUAAAUUCGAAACUGUUGUUACAUUAUUAUCCUUUUUUUUAAAUUAAUGUGGUUAUUUUUAACUUGGUCCAAAAAAGCAAAAACUUCAUAUUUUGACACAAAAAUCUUGCUUGUAAAUGAUGAGCACCAUUGGUUGUGAGAUUUUGAUUGAAACACAUGAUGGAUACCGCUGGAUAAAAUGCUAUUAAGUAUCGGUAAUGUGAGCUGUCACUCCCUGUCUGGAGACACCUGGAUCAGAUGAAGCGAAUGUCACAAAUCAGAUUGACGCAGUGACUUGGAAAAUGGGGGAGAAAGAUGUAUAUCAGAUUUCAAAAUCACAUAAAAUAAAUCUUAUUCCAGGUCUAUUUCAACAAUAAAAAUAAGUUUCAAUUAAAAUUCACAGAGUGAACCUGAAUAUUUAUUUUUUAUUUUUUUCCGUACCAACCUGUACAGACUCUCAAAUCUUUUAAUGAAUUGAUUUGGUCAUAUGCCAUGUAUUUGCAAAGUGAACACAAGAUGUCCUUGGAAUUAUACAUUUUUCCCGUCAGAUCUUUAUGGUUUUGGAAGCAAGAAUCGUUUGUGUAAUGACAUUUUGUCCUAGAGGAAAAAAAAGUCACACUUCAUACCAUAUCCAUGACUUGCCAUAUUUUGUUAAUUAAUCUAUAUUAGAUAUUUUUUAUACUAAUGCAUUUUUUUUUAUUAUUAUAAUGGAUGUGUUUAAUUUUAUUACUGCCCGGAAAGUGAAAAUGUUGCCAGCAUUUAUUAUUUUUUUUUUCUUUUCAUUUUUACUUAAUGAACACAAAAUAUGAAAACUGAUAGUUUGGCUGUGCUAUGUUAGGAACAUAAAUUUUAAAAGUAAGUAUUUUAAUCAGUGCUCGAUGGAUUCGUUUAAAAGUGGUCCCAUAUUUUCUCUAGUGUUAGAGGCUGCAGUAUCAAUCAGUUUAUUCACAGGGUACAAUGAAGGCAUGAUUUUAACAAUUUGGCUUUGUGUCUGUUUGUACAGGUGUUGGUCAGAUAGUGCAAACAGUGGGAUUCUGAAAUGACUUACUCCAUACCACCCAAAUGUUCUUCUUUCAGGCCUAAAUCCUUUGAAUCCCAAAAUUUAUAUCCGGCCUCAGCUAGUUUUAAACUUAAAAAGCCAAGUUAAUAGAAGUAACAUCUCCGUACAUACCAUAGGAAAAUAUACAUGCUAUUUAAAUCUUAAAGGUUACCAACCAUCAAUAAAAAAGGACCAAAAGGCCAGACACAUGAGCUAAAAAGGUAUGUAAAUCUUUAUAUACAUUUAGAACCCUCUACAAGCACUAUAAAAAGUACAUUGUCCUAAAGGGACACUCCAAGCACUCUGCGCUUCCUGUAGGUGAAAAUUCUGAAGCCAGAUGCCACCAAAGGAGGAGUGGAGACCAGCGCUUGAGGCAACUUAAGGAACACUAUAGGCACCUAGACCACUUCAACUCAUUGAAGUGGUCUGGGUGCAGUGUCCCAGGUCCCUUAACCCUACAACGGUAAAUAUUGCAGUUUUUAAUAAACUGCAAUAAUUACUUUUUAAGGGUUAACUCCAUCUCUAGUGGCUGUAAUUGACACCGGGCAUCCUCAAGCUAUGCAUGAGGACAUUCAGCACCCGAAAACCCCAUAGGAAUUAAUUGUAUAAUGCUUUCCUAUUGAGAAAGUCCUAAUGCGAAUGCGCCGUUUGCCGCGCAUUAGGUACUUCCCUCCGGCUGACGUCAGCGACAAAGGUGGAGCCUGAACAGGGCCAGACGACUUUAGAGCUAGAAUCAAGUAAUGGAUUGGUGGGGGGACGGGAUGGGUAAACUAUAGGGAGCUAUAGUGCCAGGAAAGCAACUUUUUUUUUUUUUUUCUGAUACUAUAGUUUCUCUUUAAGGGUUAAAGGGAAACUCCAGUGCCAGGAAAACAAUCCGUUUCCGGGCACUGCAGUUCCCCUCUCCAUCCCACCCCCCAAUCCCCGGUUGCUGAAGGGGUGAAAACCUCGUCGCUGCUUCCGCCGCCGCUGCUGCUCCUCUGCAUUACGUCGGCCAGUGGGCGAGACUGAUCCCGCCCACCGGCUGGGGAGACCUAAUGCGCUAUGCCGUGCAUGCGCAUUAGCGCUCCCCAUAGGAAAGCAUUGAAAAUGCUUUUCAAUGCUUUCCUAUGGGGAAAUGAGCGACGCUGGAGGUCCUCACAUAGCAUGAGGACGUCCAGCGACGCUCUAGUACUUUCCUGUACUAGAAACCAGGAAGUGCCCUCUAAUGGCUGUCUAGUAGACAGCCACUAGAGGUGGAGUUAACCCUGCAAUGUAAUUAUUGCAGUUUAUAAAACACUGCAAUAAUUACACUUGCAGGGUUAAGAGUAGUGGGAGUUGGCACCCAGACCACUCCAAUGGGCAGAAGUGGUCUGGGUGUCUGGAGUGUCCCUUUAAACCGUUCAUGAACAGUUUAAACCCUUGAGGUAAGAGUGCCUGCAUGGUCCUCCUGGCCCAAAACAACUUCAUGUUGAUGGAGUUGUUUGGUGCCUAAAGAGUUCCUUUAACUGUGGUCUGCUCCCUGUUUCUGCUACAGACUGCUCUCUGUCUGAGCUAAAACUGGUGAUGCAGGGCUUAGCUCGUUGUCUGAGAGAAAUCCGCUGCUGCUCGCAGGUACUGAGCUACCCCAGUACCAAAACGGUGCAGAGGUGGGCAAGGGUACCAUUCUAAAUGGGCAAUGGUGCAAAUCUAAAGUGGCUUAACUUCUCACUAUAUGGUCCUGGCACCAUAACCACUACAGUGUGUUGAGAGAGUUUAUUUUUAGUGCCUCACAAGCUAAGGGAGCAAGUAGGACUCACAUUGUAAUCACACCUGGCAUAGCAUAACAUCACAUUUCAGUACAUUUAGUAUACAUGUUUUUGGACAUGGGCAAAUAAAGUAGAUUGGAAAGCACUAGAAUAUAACUUGUAUAGCUUAAAGGUACAGUCCAGGCACGAUGACCACUAAUGCCCAUUGCAGUGGUCUGGGUGCCAGCUCCCACUACCCUUAACCCUGCAACUGUAAUUAUUGCAGUUUUCAUAAACUGCAAUAAUUACCUUGCAGGGUUAACUCCUCCUCUGGUGGCUAUCUACUAGACAGCCACUAGAGGGCACUUCCUGGAUUAUUGCACAGAAAACCUGUGCUAGAGCGUCACUGGAUGUCCUCACGCUGUGUGAGGACCUCCAGCGUCGCUCAAUUCCCCAUAAGAAAGCAUUGAAAAGCAUUUUCAAUUCUUUCCUAUGGAGAGCUCUAAUGCACAUGCACGGCAUUGACGCGCAUGAGCAUUAGGUCUCCUCAGCUGGCGGGCUGAUGUAAUGAAGGGGAGGAGCGGCGGCGACCUGAAAUCACUGCCGAGGGACAUCGGCUCGGGUCUCAGGUAAGUCACUGAAGGGGUUUUCACCCCUUCAGCAACCGGGGAUGGGUGGUGGGAGGGAGAGGGGACCUGCAGUGCCAGGAAAACUGAUUGUUUUCCUGACACUGGAGAGUCCCUUUAAAGGAACACUCCAAGCCCCAUGACUACUACCACUGACUGUUGUGGUUAUAAUGUCAGGAGUAACCUUCCCCCUCCCAUUGUCAGUAGUUAAACCAUUUUUAGAAUGGUGCAGUAGCUUUCACUCUCAACCCUUCUCUUUAUUCCAUCCUCCUACUGGACUAUUUAAAUAACUUCAAUUUUCUCAUCUCCCAUAACUGUUCUUUUUUUUUUAAUUUUGUAUAUUUAAUUUCCAUUUUUGUACAAUAGAGUUCUCUCCCUAUACAGGUUGUGUUAUGAGAUGCUAUGAAUACAUUUAAAAAAGGCUUGGAUGCUUUUUUGCAUAAACCUAAUAUUCAAGGAUAUAAUUGAUAUGUAUAUAAACAGGUUGUUGAUCUAAGGAGAAAUCUGAUUGCCAUUAUGGCAGGAAGAAUGAUUUCUUUCCCUUUUAGUAGCAUAAUUGGGAAUGGCUUUAGUUGUUUGUUUUUGCUGCCUUCUUGAUCAACAGCAUAAAAGAAUGGGCUUCACGGUCGAACUUGAUGGACUUUAGUCUUUAUUUCAGGUUAGACAACAAUGUUACUGUAUAAGAAUAAGUCAAUGUACAGCUUUUACACAAAAUGAAAAUGCUGUAAAGAUAAUACAUUGUCUGUAUAAAUGGGGGGGUCAAAUCCUACCUAGAGAAUCCCUUGAAUAUCUCCACCCUCAAAAUAACUGGAGUCCCUAGGCAUCAUCUUACCUUAAGGUGUUUCUGAAUGGUUUACCACCAAAGUUGCGUCCUUGGGUACCCAUUCAUGUUACCUCCCCUUUACUCUGUUUGACCUUCCUGCAAAAAAACAUUGCCUUGCAUGUUAGUGAUAGACUGAAGGUGUCACAUAUCUCUAACAUACUGUUACUCACAGGCACUCAAGACAGAGAAGAGGGAAGUCCAGGGCCCCAAGAUGUGCUAAACCAUUGAAGAUCACCAUAGAUUCCAGCCUCCAAAAUGAAUUCAUUGUGAUAAUGUUGUAAGAAUGGAAAGUAGAGAUAAUUGUUUGUUUGCACUAGCUGUUCUGUGACUGUAAAAUAUUUUGUAAGAUUUUACUGUUACAAUCAAACAUGGUGUACUGAUGAAAAUAUUGUUAUUGUUUUUUUUUGUUUCAUAGGUAAUCAUUGACUUCUAAGUGCUAAAAAAAUGAGUCACCUCAGGGCCUUCACUGCCAGAUUAAAGCCAUAUGGUAUUUCUUUGCUGGCGAUGAAAGCUACAGCCCCAAGGCCUACACUACCGAGAUGUUGCCUACAUUCUUCUGGGAGCAAAGAGCCAUUCUUAAGUGGUACCAAUUCUAGUUACGUGGAAGAAAUGUAUUAUGCAUGGCUGGAGAAUCCAAAAAGUGUCCACAAGGUAAACGGAGUGGAAAUAGUUUUCUG
rnacentral:lncRNA from 1 species